GGGAUGAGAUGACUGCUAUGUGUGUGGUGCCUUUCCAGCGCUCUGAACUGGCCUGCAGCUAACGCGUUAAGUCGACCGCCUGGGGAGUACGGUCGCAAGACUAAAACUCAAAUGAAUUGACGGGGGCCCGCACAAGCGGUGGAACAUGUGGUUUAAUUCGAUGCAACGCGAAAAACCUUACCUGGCCUUGACAUACCUAGAACUUUCCAGAGAUGGAUUGGUGCCUUCGGGAACUGAAGUGCAGGUGCUGCAUGGCUGUCGUCAGCUCGUGUCGUGAAAUGUUGGGUUAAGUCCCGCAACGAGCGCAACCCUUAUCCUUUGUUGCCAGCGGGUAGGGCCGGGAAUCUUAAGGAACCUGCCGUGGACAAAUGGAAGGAAGGCGGGAACAACUUCAGGUCUUCUGGGCCCUUACAGCCAGGGCUACACACUUGCUACAAUGGUCGGUACAAAAGGUUGCAACUCGCGAGGUCGAUGCUACUCUCAAAAAUCCGAUCGUAGUCGGAUUGGAAUCUGCAACUCUCACUGUCCUGAAGUCCGAAAUCCUAGUAAUCGUAGAUCAGAAUGCCACGGUGAAUACGUU
rnacentral:rRNA from 1 species